rnacentral:rRNA from 1 species
UGGGGAAUAUUGCACAAUGGGGGAAACCCUGAUGCAGCAACGCCGCGUGAAGGAAGACGGUUUUCGGAUUGUAAACUUCUGUUCUUAGUGAAGAAUAAUGACGGUAGCUAAGGAGCAAGCCACGGCUAACUACGUGCCAGCAGCCGCGGUAAUACGUAGGUGGCAAGCGUUGUCCGGAAUUACUGGGUGUAAAGGGAGCGCAGGCGGGAGACCAAGUCAGCUGUGAAAACUACGGGCUUAACCUGUAGACUGCAGUUGAAACUGGUUUUCUUGAGUGAAGUAGAGGUUGGCGGAAUUCCGAGUGUAGCGGUGAAAUGCGUAAAUAUUCGGAGGAACACCGGUGGCGAAGGCGGCCAACUGGGCUUUAACUGACGCUGAGGCUCGAAAGUGUGGGGAGCAAACAGGAUUAGAUACCC